rnacentral:rRNA from 1 species
UNUCUAUUAAUUGUANNNCCGUAUGAAAGGCAAAAUGAGAGCCUAACUGUCUCUUAUAACAAAUCAAUUAAACUGAUCUCCCAGUACAAAAGCUGGGAUACCCACAUAAGACCAGAAGACCCUGUGAAGCUUUAACUAACCUAUUAAACCACAUAAUAGCUAGUUUCGGUUGGGGCGACCUUGGAAUAAAAAAGAACUUCCAAAAAAUAUGACCUCCUCAUAUAAAAGGCAGACAAGCCACUAUUAGACCCAGAACUUCUGAUACAUGAACCAAGUUACUCCAGGGAUAACAGCGCUAUCUUCUUUAAGAGCCCAUAUCAAAAAGAAGGUUUACGACCUCGAUGUUGGAUCAGGACAUCCUAGUAAUGCAACAGUUACUAAGGGUUCGUUUGUUCAACGAUUAAU